GCCCCAGGCCGUCUAGAAAUGGGCCCAGGCUCAGCCCCAAAGCAAGUGCCUUAACCAUAGGGAAAGGAAGGGGACAUCAAAUAGGCAGUCUCACUGAUCCUUCAUGUUCCUCUGACUCGUCUUUCGGAUGCCAGCCAAACAUCUUCUGAGAGUGAGGGGCAGAGAAGAGGCAAAGAGCUGAGGUGGAUGAGGCACCAAGAGGAGGGGCUUGUGAGGACAAGGCGACUCCGAGACAAGCAACGACAGCAUCAUCAUAACCAUGACAUCUAGAAGGCGGGUGUCAACCCCGUUCUGGCCCUGGGCCAGGCUCUGAGGGAUCCCAGAUGGGACUGUGUGAACCCCCAGCCUGGGGACCUCCCUGCAAAAGGCCCCCUGUCUCAAGCCAAGGGACCCAGAAGUGUAAAGUUUGUGAGUGACGUGGGGCAAGCUAGGCUAGAGAGAGGAUUUCAAUAAAUGGCCAGGUCUGAGUGGAGAUUGCUACAAACUUGAUAGGCACUGGCCAUGGGGCUUUGCCUGCCAGGGAGAGUCAGGAUGGGGGUGGGGAGACGAAGAGGAGGGAGAUGGAAAACAUGCAGGGGUGUGGUGAUAAAUUGGAUUCCUAGUGGGGGGGAAUGUCUUAAUUUAGAAUUUGUCAAUUUCUGUGGUGUAAAUAUUUCCACAAAGCUAUCAGUUGGUUUAACAACUGGUUCACAAAAUUCUUGACUCAACAACAGCUCUUGCUUACUUACUGCUCAUUAGAUCUUUGUCCCGUCAGAGGCCCUCAACAGCACAAGCCCCCAGGCCCUCGCUGCACGCCUCCCUGAGCCCAGCUUGCCCACUUCCUAGGUUUUAUUUACAGAAAGCCCUUCUCCAUGCAUUGGGCAUCUUGGGGCCUGAAGCGAGCCUUCCAGAUGUUCAAGCUCCCUGUGCUUCAGACCCUAGAGGAGGGCAGGCGGGUCUGCCUCACAGGUUGUUAUGAAGCUCAAUGAGGCGAUGGAUAGGAAAUGACUUUGCCAAAAUGUACACCAAACCCAAUCAAGUGGAGUGCCACAACCCAAGUUCCUUGCCCGCCUCCUCCUAGUGUGGUUUGAAGAGCCAUAGUUUGGGGCAUCUAGCAGUUCUAUAAUAAUUUGCCAGCUGAUUAGCCACCCUGCCUCUCACCUCCCUUGGUCACAUGUCAGCCUCCUCACUCAUUCUCACCGCCAAUGGACCAGGUAUGUGUGGGUGACAAAUACCAGGGAGCCAGGAAGCCACUAGUCAGGUCCCUGGGCCACAGAACAACGCCCAUUCCAGGAGCUGGGAGUCUGUCCACAGAAGGCCACCUGCGGAAGGGGCUUCCUGGUCCUGCGUGUGGCCUGGACAUUCUCUGCUGCAGGAUUUUUAUUAUGCAAUCUUUUCAGAGACCCACAUGCCCUUGACACCUUCCCAGUGACUUCAUUUCCCCCUCCUCUGGGCUCCUGGAAUGGCCCCACCUUAGCUUGGCAGCUGUGGUGAGAGGUGUUGACCCAGCUGCCUGUCUGCUGGCUCACCGUGUCAGGUGGAAGGGGUGAAGACAGUAGCAGGGUUGAGGGGUCUUUCCUCAGAGUCAGGAACCUGGAACUGUCUCCAGGCAGGAUGGGGGCCAGGGUCCCCUGGAUUCAGCCAGCUCCUAGGGGAUGAGUGGUACAGGUAGCCAGUGAGGAAUAGGCCACAGGGCAGGAAAACAGUCCAGAGCCACAGAUAUGCCACUGGUUCUCGUCUUAAUCUCUCCUGUGUGGUGAGAGCACUCUGCCAGGCCUCGAGCCAGCAGAGAGUACCUGCUGACCCCAGAAUAAGUUUCCGUGGGGGCUGGAGACAGUCACACCUGCCUGACCUGUGUGAGCUUUACAGGCUGGUGAAUAAACCAGCACAGCACACUGCAACACACCCUCGACUGGGUAGAAGGCUUCAUAGAGGAGGUGUCAUUCGAAGGAGCCAUAGGAGUGGGUCCCCCGAAAUAGCCCCAAUCUCCCUGCACAAGCCCAAGUCAGGCUCCAGCCCUGGGGCUGGGUCCACCUUCUGAGCAUCCAUGGGGUGACCCUCGCAGCAGGAGGUUACAUAGCCCAACCUCCUCCUGCCAAACAUGGCAGACUUCCCCCUUCUGGGAACAGAUGGGAGUAAAAUUCCCUGGCUGCUCUUUUUAUGAAUGAUCAGG